UACAGAGGUCCCAAGCGUUGUUCGGAUUCACUGGGCGUAAAGGGUGCGUAGGUGGUCAGGUAAGUCGGAUGUGAAAUCUCGGAGCUUAACUCCGAAACUGCAUUGGAAACUACCUGGCUCGAGGAAUGGAGGGGGGAAUGGAAUUCCCGGUGUAGCGGUGAAAUGCGCAGAUAUCGGGAAGAACACCCGUGGCGAAGGCGGUUCUCUGGGACGGUACUGACGCUGAGACGCGAAAGCGUGGGGAGCGAACAGG
rnacentral:rRNA from 1 species